rnacentral:miRNA from 1 species
CUCGGUAGAAGAUCUUCCCUUU